rnacentral:tRNA from 1 species
GGGGUUGUGGCUCAGCGGUAGAGUACUCGCUUCGCACGUGUGAGACUAUGGGUUCAAUCCUCAGCACCA